CUCUAGUUUUGGCAUCCAUAAACUGAUCCUUAUCAGGUCUUACACAUCCCAUAUGCUGCUCUUUAAAUAGAGAAGAGAUAGAGACCUAGUUUGGAUAGAAAAUGAGAGUCCUAACACCUUAGGACUCUAGAUUUUAUGCCGCCCAUAUACAAGUCUUUUUUGCCCAGGUUUUACAUGCCCAUACACCUCACGAAAGAAGGGUUUUCCUAU
rnacentral:lncRNA from 1 species